UACGUAGGGUGCAAGCGUUGUCCGGAAUUAUUGGGCGUAAAGAGCUCGUAGGCGGUCUGUCGCGUCGGCUGUGAAAACCCGAGGCUCAACCUCGGGCCUGCAGUCGAUACGGGCAAACUAGAGUACUGCAGGGGAGACUGGAAUUCCUGGUGUAGCGGUGAAAUGCGCAGAUAUCAGGAGGAACACCGGUGGCGAAGGCGGCCAUCUGGACCGCAACUGACGCUGAGGCGCGAAAGCGUGGGGAGCAAACAGG
rnacentral:rRNA from 1 species